rnacentral:rRNA from 1 species
UACAGAGGGUGCAAGCGUUAAUCGGAAUUACUGGGCGUAAAGCGCGCGUAGGCGGCUGGCUAAGUCGGGUGUGAAAGCCCCGGGCUCAACCUGGGAAUUGCAUUCGAUACUGGAUAGCUAGAGUUCGGCAGAGGGAAGUGGAAUUUCGGGUGUAGCGGUGAAAUGCGUAGAUAUCCGAAGGAACAUCAGUGGCGAAAGCGACUUCCUGGACCAGAACUGACGAUCAGGCACGAAAGCGUGGGGAGCAAACAGG